AAAGCGACCUCAGCUCAGGCGGGGCUACCCGCUGAGUUUAAGCAUAUCAAUAAGCGGAGGAAAAGA
rnacentral:rRNA from 1 species